UGGGGAAUAUUGCACAAUGGGCGCAAGCCUGAUGCAGCCAUGCCGCGUGUAUGAAGAAGGCCUUCGGGUUGUAAAGUACUUUCAGCGAGGAGGAAGGCGUUGUGGUCAAUAACCGCAACGAUUGACGUUACUCGCAGAAGAAGCACCGGCUAACUCCGUGCCAGCAGCCGCGGUAAUACGGAGGGUGCAAGCGUUAAUCGGAAUUACUGGGCGUAAAGCGCACGCAGGCGGUCUGUCAAGUCGGAUGUGAAAUCCCCGGGCUCAACCUGGGAACUGCAUCCGAAACUGGCAGGCUAGAGUCUUGUAGAGGGGGGUAGAAUUCCAGGUGUAGCGGUGAAAUGCGUAGAGAUCUGGAGGAAUACCGGUGGCGAAGGCGGCCCCCUGGACAAAGACUGACGCUCAGGUGCGAAAGCGUGGGGAGCAAACA
rnacentral:rRNA from 1 species